UUUAGAGAAGUAAAAGUCGUAACAAGGUUUCCGUAGGUGAACCUGCGGAAGGAUCAUUAUUGAAUAAACUUGAACAGGCUGUUGCUGGCCCUCUCUUGUGAGGGGGACAUGUGCACGCUUGUCAUCUUUAUCUCUCCAACUGUGCACACAUUGUAGACCUGGAGUCGUCUUUGUUGAUUCAUUCGAGUUGGCACUGCAGCGCUUUUCAAAACAAGAAAAGUCUGCUCUGCCUUUUGCAUUUCCAGGUCUAUGUCAUUUUCACAACCUCAAUGUGUUUAGAAUGUUGAAAAUCAGGUCCUUUAUUGUACCUAUAAAAGUUAAAUAUACAACUUUCAGCAACGGAUCUCUUGGCUCUCGCAUCGAUGAAGAACGCAGCGAAAUGCGAUAAGUAAUGUGAAUUGCAGAAUUCAGUGAAUCAUCGAAUCUUUGAACGCAUCUUGCGCUCCUUGGUAUUCCGAGGAGCAUGCCUGUUUGAGUGUCAUUUCAAGUUCUCAACUGCAUCAAUUUCUCGUUGAUGUGGCUUGGAUGUGGGGGAUUGAUUAUUGCAGGCUUCUGUCAAAGGAGGUCGGCUCCCCUGAAAAGUAUUAGUGGUAUCUGAGCGGAAGAAACUACUAUAGGUGUGAUAACUAUCUAUGCCUUCAGUAUGCUGCAUAAAAACAGAUUGCACUGCUUCUAACCUAGUGAAAACCUCUCUCUACAAGGAGGGGCCACAUUUGACGAAUUUGACCUCAAAUCAGGUAGGACUACCCGCUGAACUUAAGCAUAUCAAUAAGCGGAGGAAAAGAAACUAACAAGGAUUCCCCUAGUAACUGCGAGUGAAGCGGGAAAAGCUCAAAUUUGAAAUCUGGCGGUUUUUUGACUGUCCGAGUUGUAAUCUAGAGAAGUGUUACCUGUGCUGAACCGUGUACAAGUCUUCUGGAAUGGAGCAUCAUAGAGGGUGAGAAUCCCGUCUUUGACAUGGACUACCAGUACAUUAUGGUGCGCUCUCGAAGAGUCGAGUUGUUUGGGAAUGCAGCUCAAAAUGGGUGGUAAAUGCCAUCUAAAGCUAAAUAUUGGCGAGAGACCGAUAGCGAACAAGUACCGUGAGGGAAAGAUGAAAAGAACUUUGGAAAGAGAGUUAAACAGUACGUGAAAUUGCUGAAAGGGAAACGCUUGAAGUCAGUCACGUUGGCUAGAAAUCAGCCCUGCUCUUGCUCGGUGUACUUUCUGGUUGAUGGGUCAGCAUCAAUUUCGACCAUUGGAUAAAGUCUCUGGGAAUGUGGCAUCUUCGGAUGUGUUAUAGCCCAGGGUCGCAUGCAGUGGUUGGGAUUGAGGAACUCAGCACGCCGCAAGGCCGGGUUUCGAGCACGUUCGUGCUUA
rnacentral:rRNA from 1 species